GUUUAAGUAGUAUAUAAAAAAUUACAUUAUCCUUUCUAGAUAAAAAAAUUUUAAAAAAUCUUAGAU
rnacentral:tRNA from 1 species